rnacentral:rRNA from 1 species
GAUGAACGCUGGCGGCGUGCCUAAUACAUGCAAGUCGAGCGAACGGACGAGAAGCUUGCUUCUCUGAUGUUAGCGGCGGACGGGUGAGUAACACGUGGAUAACCUACCUAUAAGACUGGGAUAACUUCGGGAAACCGGAGCUAAUACCGGAUGAUAUUUUGAACCGCAUGGUUCAAAAGUGAAAGACGGUCUUGCUGUCACUUAUAGAUGGAUCCGGGCUGCAUUAGCUAGUUGGUAAGGUAACGGCUUACCAAGGCAACGAUGCAUAGCCGACCUGAGAGGGUGAUCGGCCACACUGGAACUGAGACACAGCCCAGACUCCUACGGGAGGCAGCAGUAGGGAAUCUUCCGCGAUGGGCGAAAGCCUGACGGAGCAACGCCGCGUGAGUGAUGAAGGUCUUCGGAUCGUAAAACUCUGUUAUUAGGGAAGAACAUAUGUGUAAGUAACUGUGCACAUCUUGACGGUACCUAAUCAGAAAGCCACGGCUAACUACGUG